GGAUGUGAGGGCAAUCUGGCUGUGACAUCUGUCACCCCAUUGAUCACCAGGGCCUGGCCUGGCUGGCUAGAUGGUUGUCCCCUUCCUCCCUCACCGCUCCAUGUGCGUCCCUCGUGAAGCUGUGUGCUCAGUGGAAUCCCAUCCUCGAUAGGCGUACUGUGUUUCAGUCAAGGGUAUACAAGUAGCUGUACUCCCCUGCUAGAACAAGCUCCCAAGGUCCAAAAAUAUAUAUAGAUUAAUAUAGGUUAAUUGAUCUUUAAUGACUAAAGGGGCAUUCAGGAUGUAUUCUCU
rfam:Sarcophilus harrisii ctg7180002389023, whole genome shotgun sequence.